AGGUCCUUUAACUACAGUCCCGUGAGGCUGAGAAGGAAAUCGUGAUAUGAAUACUAGGGGAAGACUGUCCUCUUAUCUUCGUGUACAAAAAACGAUCCUCUCGCCAAUCGGUGAGAGGAUUUUUGCUU
rfam:Bacillus azotoformans LMG 9581 contig35, whole genome shotgun sequence.